CAUCUCUAAGAAGCAUUCAGGAUGGAUGGAAACUUGCCAAAUGUGGCAUGAGGGCCUCUGAUCCUUAUAAUGGACAUCUAGGAAGAUGACUAACACCAAUCCUUCCAAACUGGAACUUGAGAAAAAUUCAGCAUGUGGAGAACUAGCAGUGGAAUAAUACAGACUUCUUCAUUCACCCUACUUGCAGGAUAUAAGGCAAGAAUCUUCUGUUAUCUGAUCUGCUUAAUGCUUUCUUUGCCUCUAUGUCAUAUAUUUCAAUUGCUAAUUCU